rnacentral:misc_RNA from 1 species
GAUGAAGAACGUAGCGAAAUGCGAUAAGUAAUGUGAAUUGCAGAAUUCCGUGAAUCAUCGAAUCUUUGAACGCACAUUGCGCCCUCUGGUAUUCCGGGGGGCAUGCCUGUCCGAGCGUCAUUACAACCCUCAGGCCCCCGGGCCUGGCGUUGGGGAUCGGCGGAGCCCCCCGUGGGCACACGCCGUCCCCCAAAUGCAGUGGCGGUCCCGCCGCAGCUUCCAUCGCGUAGUAGCUAACACCUCGCGACUGGAGAGCGGCGCGGCCACGCCGUAAAACACCCAACUCUUCUGAAGUUGACCUCGAAUCAGGUAGGAAUACCCGCUGAACUUAAGCAUAUCAAUAAGCGGAGGA